GACGAACGCUGGCGGCGUGCUUAACACAUGCAAGUCGAACGAUGAAGCCUAGCUUGCUAGGUGGAUUAGUGGCGAACGGGUGAGUAAUACGUGAGUGACCUACCUUUGACUCUGGGAUAAGCCUGGGAAACUGGGUCUAAUACCGGAUACGACCAAUCUCCGCAUGGGGUGUUGGUGGAAAGCGUUAUGGAGUGGUUUUAGAUGGGCUCACGGCCUAUCAGCUUGUUGGUGAGGUAAUGGCUUACCAAGGCGACGACGGGUAGCCGGCCUGAGAGGGUGACCGGCCACACUGGGACUGAGACACGGCCCAGACUCCUACGGGAGGCAGCAGUGGGGAAUAUUGCACAAUGGGCGCAAGCCUGAUGCAGCGACGCCGCGUGAGGGAUGACGGCCUUCGGGUUGUAAACCUCUGUUAGCAUCGAAGAAGCGAAAGUGACGGUAGGUGCAGAGAAAGCGCCGGCUAACUACGUGCCAGCAGCCGCGGUAAUACGUAGGGCGCGAGCGUUGUCCGGAAUUAUUGGGCGUAAAGAGCUUGUANGCGGUUGGUCGCGUCUGCUGUGAAGGCUGGGGCUUAACCCUGGUUUUGCAGUGGGUACGGGCUAACUAGAGUGCAGUAGGGGAGACUGGAAUUCCUGGUGUAGCGGUGGAAUGCGCAGAUAUCAGGAGGAACACCGAUGGCGAAGGCAGGUCUCUGGGCUGUAACUGACGCUGAGAAGCGAAAGCAUGGGGAGCGAACAGGAUUAGAUACCCUGGUAGUCCAUGCCGUAAACGUUGGGCACUAGGUGUGGGGGACAUUCCACGUUUUCCGCGCCGUAGCUAACGCAUUAAGUGCCCCGCCUGGGGAGUACGGCCGCAAGGCUAAAACUCAAAGAAAUUGACGGGGGCCCGCACAAGCGGCGGAGCAUGCGGAUUAAUUCGAUGCAACGCGAAGAACCUUACCAAGGCUUGACAUAUACUGGACUGCGUCAGAGAUGGCGUUUCCCUUCGGGGCUGGUAUACAGGUGGUGCAUGGUUGUCGUCAGCUCGUGUCGUGAGAUGUUGGGUUAAGUCCCGCAACGAGCGCAACCCUCGUUCUAUGUUGCCAGCACGUGAUGGUGGGGACUCAUAGGAGACUGCCGGGGUUAACUCGGAGGAAGGUGGGGAUGACGUCAAAUCAUCAUGCCCCUUAUGUCUUGGGCUUCACGCAUGCUACAAUGGCCGGUACAGAGGGUUGCGAUACUGUGAGGUGGAGCUAAUCCCUAAAAGCCGGUCUCAGUUCGGAUUGGGGUCUGCAACUCGACCCCAUGAAGUCGGAGUCGCUAGUAAUCGCAGAUCAGCAACGCUGCGGUGAAUACGUUCCCGGGCCU
rnacentral:rRNA from 1 species